rnacentral:rRNA from 1 species
GAUGAACGCUGGCGGCGUGCCUAAUACAUGCAAGUCGAGCGAACAGACGAGGAGCUUGCUCCUCUGACGUUAGCGGCGGACGGGUGAGUAACACGUGGAUAACCUACCUAUAAGACUGGGAUAACUUCGGGAAACCGGAGCUAAUACCGGAUAAUAUAUUGAACCGCAUGGUUCAAUAGUGAAAGACGGUUUUGCUGUCACUUAUAGAUGGAUCCGCGCCGCAUUAGCUAGUUGGUAAGGUAACGGCUUACCAAGGCAACGAUGCGUAGCCGACCUGAGAGGGUGAUCGGCCACACUGGAACUGGGACACGGUCCAGACUCCUACGGGAGGCAGCAGUAGGGAAUCGUCCGCAAUGGGCGAAAGCCUGACGGAGCAACGCCGCGUGAGUGAUGAAGGUCUUCGGAUCGUAAAACUCUGUUAUUAGGGAAGAACAAAUGUGUAAGUAACUAUGCACGCCUUGACGGUACCUAAUCAGAAAGCCACGGCUAACUACGUG